ACCGUAACACUUCUACUCAUCCGAGGAGUUCGUGUUCUGAGAUUGUGUAUGCUCGAAGGACCCUGCAUGCAGAUCAUAUUGUUAUUGAGGGUGAUUCUGCCAUGAUGGUGUUUUGGAUUUAGGGAUGCAUACAGGAAGUUGUUACACAUCAUAUCCUAUGGGACAACUCCAUUUUGUUAUCGGGAUGUGUAGGUCUUUGUAUUAAGCACAU
rnacentral:lncRNA from 1 species